AAGUCGUAACAAGGUUUCCGUAGGUGAACCUGCGGAAGGAUCAUUAUUGAAUUAUGUUUCUAGAUGGGUUGUAGCUGGCUCUUUGGAGCAUGUGCACGCCUGUUUGGAUUUCAUUUUCAUCCACCUGUGCACCUAUUGUAGUCUUUGGUUUGGGUAUUGAGAAAGUGGUCAGCCUAUCAGCAUUUGCUGGAUAUGAGGAGUUUGCAGUGUGAAAGCAUUGCUGUCCUUUACUUGGCCAUGGAGUCUUUUGCCUGCCAGAGUCUAUGUCAUUCAUUAUACCCUGUCGAAUGUUAUCGAAUGUCUUUACAUGGGCUUUCAUGCCUAUGAAAAUUAUAAUACAACUUUCAGCAACGGAUCUCUUGGCUCUC
rnacentral:misc_RNA from 1 species